rnacentral:misc_RNA from 1 species
CUGAGUUUACAACUCCCAAACCCAAUGUGAACAUACCUAUCGUUGCUUCGGCGGGACCGCCCCGGCGCGCCCUUAGGGGCUUGCCCGGAACCAGGCGCCCGCCGGAGACCCCAAACUCUUGAUUUUCCCGCACAGCGGCAGUAAUUCUCUGAGUGGCAAACGCAAAAUAAAUUA